CCAGUUACGGCUCGGAUGCCCUGUAAUUGAAUUAUGGUGAACUGUAUAAAACCACUGAGGCGGAAAUAUCUGUAAUAAGAGAUAAAGUGGAAUAUUUGCUAACUCGUCGAAAAUGUGUAUGUACAAAUUGCAUUGAAUGUCCUCACAGAUAAAGAGAAGAGCAGAGAUAAACCACAGAAUACUCAAAAUAUUAUAACCCACACACUUCUUCCAUGCCCCUCACUUACUGCUUGGGAGUACUGCCUAAUGAAAGGAAGCUCCCUG